UACGUAGGGUGCGAGCGUUGUCCGGAAUUACUGGGCGUAAAGAGCUCGUAGGUGGUUUGUCGCGUUGUUCGUGAAAACUCACAGCUCAACUGUGGGCGUGCGGGCGAUACGGGCAGACUAGAGUACUGCAGGGGAGACUGGAAUUCCUGGUGUAGCGGUGGAAUGCGUAGAUAUCUGGAGGAAUACCGGUGGCGAAGGCGGCAUCCUGGACCGGCAUUGACGCUGAGGAGCGAAAGCUAGGGGAGCAAACGGGGAUUAAGAA
rnacentral:rRNA from 1 species